CCUGACUGCUAUCGGAUUGGUACUAAGCCAUGUGAGUCAUUGUAGCAAUACAAGGCAGACGGCUCAGUAACACGUAGUCAAUCUACCCUAUGGACGGGGAUAACCUCGGGAAACUGAGGAUAAAACCCGAUAGAUCAUAGUGCCUGGAACGGCUUAUGGUCCAAAUGAUUCGUCGCCGUAGGAUGGGACUGCGGCCUAUCAGCUUGUUGGUGAGGUAAUGGCCCACCAAGGCUAUUACAGGUACGGGCUCUGAGAGGAGAAGCCCGGAGAUGGGUACUGAGACACGGACCCAGGCCCUAUGGGGCGCAGCAGGCGAGAAACCUUUGCAAUGUGCGCAAGCACGACAAGGUUAAUCCGAGUGUUUCCUGCUAAAGGAAUCUUUUGUUAGUUCUAAAACCACUAGUGAAUAAGGGGUGGGCAAGUUCUGGUGUCAGCCGCCGCGGUAAAACCGGCACCUCAAGUGGUCAGGAUGAUUAUUGGGCCCAAAGCAUCCGUAGCCUGUUCUGUAAGUUUCCGGUUAAAUCCAUUAGCUCAACUAAUGGGCCGCCGAAAAUACUGCAGAACUAGGGAGUGGGAGAGGUAGACGGUACUCGGUAGGAAGGGGUAAAAUCCUUUGAUCUAUUGAUGACCACCUGUGGCGAAGGCGGUCUACCAGAACACGUUCGACGGUGAGGGAUGAAAGCUGGGGGAGCAAACCGGAUUAGAUACCCGGGUAGUCCCAGCUGUAAACGAUGCAGACUCGGUGAUGCGCUGGCUUGUGGCCAGUGCAGUGCCGCAGGGAAGCCGUUAAGUUUGCCGCCUGGGAAGUACGUACGCAAGUAUGAAACUUAAAGGAAUUGGCGGGGGAGCACCACAAGGGGUGAAGCCUGCGGUUC
rnacentral:rRNA from 1 species